rnacentral:misc_RNA from 1 species
UUAAGUUCAGCGGGUAGUCCUACCUGAUUUGAGGUCAAAUUGUCAAAAGUUGUCCUUGCGGACGGUUAGAAGCAAGUCUAAGAACCAUCCACGGCGUAGAUAAUUAUCACACCAAUAGACGGAGCUCAGUUUGAACUCGCUAAUGCAUUUCAGGGGAGCAGACCGCACUGAGGCAGCCUGCACAAACCCCCACGUCCAAG